rnacentral:rRNA from 1 species
AUGCUUUACACAUGCAAGUCGAGCGGCAGCGCGGGGGCAACCCUGGCGGCGAGCGGCGGACGGGUGAGUAAUGCAUCGGAACAUGUCCAUGUCGUGGGGGAUAGCCCGGCGAAAGCCGGAUUAAUACCGCAUACGCCCGAGAGGGGAAAGUGGGGGACCGCAAGGCCUCACGCGAUUGGGUUGGCCGAUGUCCGAUUAGCUAGUUGGCGGGGUAAAAGCCCACCAAGGCGAUGAUCGGUAGCUGGUCUGAGAGGAUGAUCAGCCACACUGGGACUGAGACACGGCCCAGACUCCUACGGGAGGCAGCAGUGGGGAAUUUUGGACAAUGGGGGCAACCCUGAUCCAGCCAUUCCGCGUGAGUGAAGAAGGCCUUCGGGUUGUAAAGCUCUUUUGUCCGGAACGAAACGGUUACGGUGAAUACCCGUGACUACUGACGGUACCGGAAGAAUAAGCACCGGCUAACUACGUGCCAGCAGCCGCGGUAAUACGUAGGGUGCGAGCGUUAAUCGGAAUUACUGGGCGUAAAGCGUGCGCAGGCGGUUUUGUAAGCCAGAUGUGAAAGCCCCGGGCUUAACCUGGGAAUGGCAUUUGGGACUGCAAGGCUAGAGUGCGGCAGAGGAGACUAGAAUUCCUGGUGUAGCAGUGAAAUGCGUAGAUAUCAGGAGGAAUACCGAUGGCGAAGGCAGGUCUCUGGGCUGACACUGACGCUCAUGCACGAAAGCGUGGGGAGCAAACAGGAUUAGAUACCCUGGUAGUCCACGCCCUAAACGAUGUCGACUGGUUGUUGGGGGUUUGACACUCUCAGUAACGAAGCUAACGCGUGAAGUCGACCGCCUGGGGAGUACGGCCGCAAGGUUAAAACUCAAAGGAAUUGACGGGGACCCGCACAAGCGGUGGAUUAUGUGGAUUAAUUCGAUGCAACGCGAAAAACCUUACCUACCCUUGACAUGUCCUGGAGGCUAGAGAGAUCUGGCUGUGCCCGAAAGGGAACGGGAACACAGGUGCUGCAUGGCUGUCGUCAGCUCG